GUGAACGCUGGCGGGAGGCCUAACCCAUGCAAGUCGAACGGCAGCACAGUAAGAGCUUGCUCUUACGGGUGGCGAGUGGCGGACGGGUGAGGAAUACAUCGGAAUCUACUUUUUCGUGGGGGAUAACGUAGGGAAACUUACGCUAAUACCGCAUACGACCUACGGGUGAAAGCAGGGGAUCUUCGGACCUUGCGCGAUUGAAUGAGCCGAUGUCGGAUUAGCUAGUUGGCGGGGUAAAGGCCCACCAAGGCGACGAUCCGUAGCUGGUCUGAGAGGAUGAUCGGCCGCACUGGAACUGAGACACGGUCCAGACUCCUACGGGAGGCAGCAGUGGGGAAUAUUGGACAAUGGGCGCAAGCCUGAUCCAGCCAUCCCGCGUGGGUGAAGAAGGCCUUCGGGUUGUAAAGCCCUUUUGUUGGGAAAGAAAAGCAGCAGGUUAAUACCCCGCUGUUCUGACGGUACCCAAAGAAUAAGCACCGGCUAACUUCGUG
rnacentral:rRNA from 1 species